UGGGGAAUUUUGGACAAUGGGGGAAACCCUGAUCCAGCCAUCCCGCGUGUGCGAUGAAGGCCUUCGGGUUGUAAAGCACUUUUGGCAGGAAAGAAACGUCAUGGGUUAGUACCCCGUGAAACUGACGGUACCUGCAGAAUAAGCACCGGCUAACUACGUGCCAGCAGCCGCGGUAAUACGUAGGGUGCAAGCGUUAAUCGGAAUUACUGGGCGUAAAGCGUGCGCAGGCGGUUCGGAAAGAAAGAUGUGAAAUCCCAGAGCUCAACUUUGGAACUGCAUUUUUAACUACCGGGCUAGAGUGUGUCAGAGGGAGGUGGAAUUCCGCGUGUAGCAGUGAAAUGCGUAGAUAUGCGGAGGAACACCGAUGGCGAAGGCAGCCUCCUGGGAUAACACUGACGCUCAUGCACGAAAGCGUGGGGAGCAAACAGG
rnacentral:rRNA from 1 species